rnacentral:ncRNA from 1 species
AGGUGACCUCCCCCACGGGGGAGGCUGAAUAAGGAAGCGGGUGAGAAUCCCGCACGGAGCCGCCGCUGUAUUUGGCGAGCCGAAGCCACGAUGUCACUGGCCCUCGGGCUGGGAAGACGGCUUAGGCGACGACCCAUAAGCCAGAAGACUUGCCUGCAUC